AAGACUAUAGACCUGCGGAGUACCUGCGGAGGGAUCAUUAACGUAUCUAUGAUGGGGUGCGGAGCGCCCUGCUCCGGUCGAACGGCCGUGCAGCGGGUGCGCCGCCCCCGUCCCACCUCACAAACCCACUGUGAACAUUCACCGGUGGAGGGGGCUCGGUCUGCGCCGUGUCCCCGAUGCCAAAUACCCAAACUCCAGUUGCAAAGAACGUCGUGCGGACUCGGUGCCGCCUAAAACAUG
rnacentral:misc_RNA from 1 species